GGAUACCAGGAUUCAAAGUCGAUGCUUUUCAUGCUUGCAUGAAAAAGCAUCGAUUUGGAAUCCGCAAAAUAUGAGAAAGGAGCCCGAUAGGGCGGAUUUCGAAUAUUUUAUGGAUAGCGUGAGCACGAAGUGCGGAGCAAUCCAUAGGUAUCG
rnacentral:sRNA from 1 species